GUGGACAUGAGGGCCGUAGUGCAGCUCCUCAGCUUCCUGCUCCUCUGGCUCCCAAGUGCCAGGGGUGACAUCCAGAUGACCCAAUCUCCAUCUGUGUCGGUUUCUCUGGGAGAGAAAGUCACCAUCAACUGCAAGGCCAGUCAGGGCAUUAGCAAGUAUUUGAAUUGGUUUCAGCAGAAACCAGGGGAAGCUCCUAGAGAACUGAUAUAUUGGGCCACCAAUUUAGAUACAGGUGUCCCUUCCUUAUUCAGUGGCAGUGGAUCAGGGACAGAUUUCACCCUCACCAUCAGCAGCCUACAGUCUGAAGAUGCUGCCAAUUAUUACUGUCUGCAGCAUAUGAGUUAUCCUCUCACAGUGAUACAGGCCACAAUAUAA